GAAGAUAUAAGUGGUAAAAGCAGGAUGCAAACCAGCAUUCCUAACCUAAAGUUACUGCACUGAAACACUUAAGAGAGAGGUCAAGAUCAACUUGAAUCAGUAGCCAAAAAGGAAGAAACUUGGGAACAUUCUUGAAAUGACAUCGAUUUCUCUCUGCUGGGAGUUAGUGAGGUGAAGUGGGAGAAGAACUUGGGCAGAGUUCUAACAACUGAACAGCUACCCCAGGAAAAGAGAAAGACAACAGUAAUCGACUUAAGAAGCUCUACUUAGAGAUCAAAGAGGUGGACUACACUAAUAAGCAGGAGGAGAGGAGAUAGGAAAUGAAUAAUUAAGAUGGAUUUAUCAGAAACAAGGAGAUCAUAUUGAAAUGUAUUCCUGGAGCACCGGGGCUUCACUGACCUCUCUGCCGUGGCUGGAGUCAAUGGUGAUUUCGCACCACAGCACACCAAGAUGGAAAGUAAACACCUGGGAACUUUUCAGCUCAACAUAUUGCGGCCCUGAGACUGCCAAGAUUCUUCACUGUGAAAGUUCUCCAAGGAUUAGCCUAUUCCUGUUCUUCCUGUUCCACACAUAAAUAUUAAUUACCCCUAAAUACAGCCCAUUUACUAGCAUCAGUCAUGAAAAAUUUAAAAUGCCAAGCGAGUGUGAGAGAAACUUGACUGUAAAUAAUUGUUACAUUGUUCUGUUUGUUCUCAGCAUUGGUAGUUAGGAGUUUGUGAGAAAGGGGAAGCUGUGAGCAUGCAUGGCCUGUGGAUGAUAAUUACAAAAUGCCAGAAGGAGAGUCUUGAAUUUUUUAAAGAGGCUUUAAUGACUCCCAGGACAUUGAGGCAGAGCAGCAUGGAUCUUGUUGAGGAAAAAAAAAGUCAGUGUUACAGAAAAUUCAUUGCCUGGUUAGAAUGCAGAGAGGGGAUGGAUACUAAACAUUCCAUCUGAACUGUUCAGGUGGCCAAUGGGGAAUUUAAUUUUAUGAAAUGUGGUUUUGUCAUCUUUCAACCUGGCAGAAUGGUAACUCAAAGGGUGGAGGAGAAAUGGAGGUGCAGAAUUAUAUUAUUUAAAUGGUAUUUGUAAAGACCACUGAGAUAUUUCAUCCUUCUUUCUCUGAGGAAAAAGGUACAAAAAUGAUGUCCUAAAGGCAUAUGAGAUCAGUUGGAAUAAGUUAAGUGGCAAAGACAAUAAUAAUGUAACAGAGAAAUAUAACCUGUAUUAUUUAAAUUAUUCAAAG
rnacentral:lncRNA from 1 species